AUUUCUUGGCCUCUUGGCUAAGGUCAAGUAUAGUAUCUGUUCUUAUCAGUUUAAAAAAUAUAUUUCACCUCCAUUUUUGAAGAAUAUUUUCUCUGGAUGUAGAAUGCUAGAUUGAAAGGUUUCCUUUUAUCUUCCCAGCACUUAAGUAUCAUCCCAUGUCCUCUGUUUCUGAUUAUAAAAAGGAGCCAUU
rfam:Pteropus alecto contig65008, whole genome shotgun sequence.